rnacentral:rRNA from 1 species
GAUGAACGCUAGCGGCAGGCUUAACACAUGCAAGUCGAGGGGUAGAGGAAGCUUGCUUCCUUGAGACCGGCGCACGGGUGCGUAACGCGUAUGCAACCUACCUUUUACAGAGGGAUAGCCCAGAGAAAUUUGGAUUAAUACCUCAUGGUAUAUAUCAUUCGCAUGUUUGAUAUAUUAAAGUUCCAACGGUAAAAGAUGGGCAUGCGUCCUAUUAGCUAGAUGGUAAGGUAACGGCUUACCAUGGCAACGAUAGGUAGGGGUCCUGAGAGGGAGAUCCCCCANACUGGUACUGAGACACGGACCAGACUCCUACGGGAGCAGCAGUGAGGAAUAUUGGACAAUGGGCGCAAGCCUGAUCCAGCCAUGCCGCGUGCAGGAGAAGCAUC